AUUGAACGCUGGCGGCAGGCUUAACACAUGCAAGUCGAGCGAGCGGCGGACGGGUGAGUAAUGUCUGGGAAACUGCCUGAUGGCGGGGGCUAACUACUGGAAACGGUCGCUACUACCGCAUACCCUCAGAUGUGCCCAGCUGGGAUUAGCUAGUAGGUGGGGUAAGGGCUCACCUAGGGGACGACCCCUCACUGGUCUGAGGGGAUGACCAGCCAAACGGGAAUGGGGAACCGGUCAAGACUCCUACGGGAGGAAGCAGGGGGGAAUUUUGGAAAAGGGGGGAAGUCCUGAGGCAGCCAUGCGCGGGGGGUGAAGAAGGCUUUCGGGUUGUAAAGCACUUUCAGCGAGGAGGCGUUACUCGCAGAAGAAGCACCGGCUAACUCCGUGCCAGCAGCCGCGGUAAUUC
rnacentral:rRNA from 1 species